CCAGGUGUAGCGCAGAGGUAGUCGCGCCCGGACUGCGGAUCCGUUGGAGGACGCCGGUUCGAAUCCGGCCACCUGGU
rnacentral:tRNA from 1 species